rnacentral:rRNA from 1 species
AAUGAACGUUGGCGGCGUGGAUUAGGCAUGCAAGUCGCGCGACAAGGCGUCUAUAGCAAUAUAGAAGCUGGAGGAGCGGCGAAAGGGUGAGGAACACGUGGAUACCUACCCUCAGGCUCGGGAUAGCGGCGGGAAACUGCCGGUAAUACCGAAUAACAUCUCCGGAUCAAAGCUCCGGCGCCUGAGGACGGGUCCGCGUCCCAUUAGCUAGUUGGCGGGGUAAUAGCCCACCAAGGCAUAGAUGGGUAGUGGGCGUGAGAGCGCGACCCACCACACUGGGACUGAGAUACUGCCCAGACACCUACGGGAGGCAG